UACGGGGGGGGUAAGCGUUGUUCGGAAUUACUGGGCGUAAAGGGCUCGUAGGCGGCCAACUAAGUCAGACGUGAAAUCCCUCAGCUCAACUGGGGAACUGCGUCUGAUACUGGAUGGCUUGAGAUUGGGAGAGGGAUGCGGAAUUCCAGGUGUAGCGGUGAAAUGCGUAGAUAUCUGGAGGAACACCGGUGGCGAAGGCGGCAUCCUGGACCAACACUGACACUGAGGAGCGAAAGCCAGGGGAGCAAACGGG
rnacentral:rRNA from 1 species